rnacentral:rRNA from 1 species
CCUACGGGUGGCAGCAGUGGGGGAUAUUGCACAAUGGGGGGAACCCUGAUGCAGCGACGCCGCGUGUGGGAAGACGGUCCUCUGGAUUGUAAACCACUGUCCCCAGGGACGAAAAUGACGGUACCUGGGGAGGAAGCUCCGGCUAACUACGUGCCAGCAGCCGCGGUAAUACGUAGGGAGCGAGCGUUGUCCGGAAUUACUGGGUGUAAAGGGAGCGUAGGCGGGGAUGUAAGUUGGUUGUCAAACCUACCGGCUCAACUGGUAGUCGCACUCAAAACUGCAGCUCUUGAGUGAAUUAGAGGUAGGCGGAAUUCCUAGUGUAGCGGUGAAAUGCGUAGAUAUUAGGAGGAACACCAGAGGCGAAGGCGGCCUGCUGGGCUUUUACUGACGCUGAGGCUCGAAAGUGUGGGGAGCAAACAGGAUUAGAUACCCGAGUAGUC